rnacentral:lncRNA from 1 species
UGCAGAUGUGAUCAGAUUAAGGAUAUUGAGAUGGAGAGAUGAUCCUUUGGUUGGGAGAUCAUCCCAAUGCCAUCACAGGGGUCCUUAUAAGAGGGAGGCAAGAGAGUCAGAGAAAGCAAUCUGAGGACAGAAGCAGAGGUGACAGAGGGGAGAGACAAAAAGCAGGGAGAUUUGAAGAAGAUGCUCCACCACUGGCCUUGACCAUGGAGCAAGGGUCCGUGAGCCAAGGAAAGCAGGUGGCCCUGGAAGCUGGAAGAUAAGGAAAUAAAUUCUUCUCUAGAGCCUCCAGAAAGAACACAGCCCUGCCAACCUACUCUAAAUUUCCCACCUCCAGAAGUAGAAGAGUAAAUCUGUGUUGUUUUCAGCUACUCAAUUUGUGUAAUUUGUUACAGCAGCCAUAGGAAAACUGUUGCAGGGCAAGAAGGUGAGUCAGUUCUUCCUCAAAUUAUGAAGCAGCCGUUUGCUUUUAUUCUCCCUGGCCUCAGCUUCUGUAGCUUCACUUUAGUUCAAUCUGACAAGCAUUUGUUGGGCACCUGCUGAGUCCUAUAUGCAGAAUUCCUGCCUGGCCCCUCUGUCUACACAGAUCUCCAGGCUUUCAAGAAGGACACCUCUACCAGGCAACAGCUCCUGCAGCUAUUUUUCUAAGAAGGUGUGUCAAAUAUCCAGGUGCCUCUUCUAUGUGAGCACUCAGGAGGCCGCUCUUCCAGGUCUACCUACAGCACUUCCAUGGGAGCCUUGCCGAGAUCCAGGCAGAAGAGACCGUGCUCUCUCGCGUGCUCCUGUGCUUUGCGUGUGCCUCUGUGAUGAAGCUCCCGCAUCAGCCCAGGAGGACUGGCAUUUCACGUGGAUCCGUGGCAUUAUAGUAUGGCCCUUUAUUUGGAAACUGGUGGAAGUGAAGAUAGUAGGAUUGCUGGCAAACGACCACUAUUUUCCUGUCUCUGUGGGGUCAGAGAGUUGGCAGCCUGGGUGACAUUGGAAGGAGACAUUGGAAGCUAAAGACAAUGGGGGCUCUCUCUCCCCUGCAGACAGGUAUUUACAACCGAAAGGAUACUGGAGCCAAGAGAUCUUGUUGUCUCUGCAGAGAGCACUGGUUCACAUCCCAGAGCAGAAGUUUUCUUUCUUUCUGGGUUGGAGGAGAAGCAGCUCUGCCAGCAGCUCCUAUGAUCUCCAAGACUCUGAACACCCAUGUGUCUGGUGUGCGGCGCUGACCCCGUCCGUAUACAGCACAGCUGGACCACACCACACUGCCCCGCGGGAGGUGCAGCUUGGGGACCUGGCACGAAGAGGGCCGGGCCAAUAAAUAGACAUCUGUCUCUGAUCCCAAAACCCUGCAUUUUCUAUCAGGACAAAUAAAUAAGCCUAGAUAUGAAAACAGGCGAUGUGAAAUGAGGACAUCCACAUUUUUGUAAUUUGACCUAGGAUGGAUCUCUUAUUUCUUAGAUAAAUAUUCUAGAGUGGGGUAGAGGGGUAUGUGAAGAAAAAACCAGGGAAGAGAUCAAUAAAAUCUGUGA